rnacentral:rRNA from 1 species
GACGAACGCUGGCGGCGUGCUUAACACAUGCAAGUCGAACGGAGCACCCCUGAAGGAGUUUUCGGACAACGGAAGGGAAUGCUUAGUGGCGGACUGGUGAGUAACGCGUGAGGAACCUGCCUUUCGGAGGGGGACAACAGUUGGAAACGACUGCUAAUACCGCAUGAUGCAUUUGGGUCGCAUGGCCUGAAUGCCAAAGAUUUAUCGCCGAAAGAUGGCCUCGCGUCUGAUUAGCUAGUUGGUGGGGUAACGGCCCACCAAGGCGACGAUCAGUAGCCGGACUGAGAGGUUGGCCGGCCACAUUGGGACUGAGAUACGGCCCAG